rnacentral:sRNA from 1 species
AAAACGUAGAGUGGAGGUAAUCCCUCGUUAUAGUUUCAUCCUAAACCUUUACUCGGCUUAGCUCUAUUCUAAAAGAUACAAAAGCUUUUAUCCCAAAGAAGCAGA